UACAGAGGGUGCGAGCGUUGUUCGGAAUCAUUGGGCGUAAAGCGCUUGUAGGCGGCCUGUCAAGUCGCGUGUGAAAUCCCUUGGCUUAACCAAGGAAGUGCGCGCGAAACUGGCGGGCUUGAGUGCCGGAGAGGGUCGCGGAAUUCCUGGUGUAGCGGUGAAAUGCGCAGAUAUCAGGAGGAACACCAAUGGCGAAGGCAGCACUCUGGGACGUGACUGACGCUGAGACGCGAAAGCGUGGGGAGCAAACAGG
rnacentral:rRNA from 1 species